AGCAGCCGCGGUAAUUCCAGCUCCAGUAGCGUAUAUUAAAGUUGCUGCAGUUAAAAAGCUCGUAGUUGAAUUUCGGGACUGAUAUGUCGGUCGUGCCUCGGUACGUACUGGUAUUUUUGGUUUCUCCCUUCUGACGAACCUUGAUGUCAUUAAUUUGGUGUCUUGGGGAAUCAGGACUGUUACUUUGAAAAAUUAGAGUGUUUAAAGCAGGCUCACGCUUGAAUACAUUAGCAUGGAAUAAUGAAAUAGGACGUUUGAUUCUAUUUUGUUGGUUUCUAGGAUCGACGUAAUGAUUAAUAGGGAUAGUUGGGGGCAUUAGUAUUCAAUUGUCAGAGGUGAAAUUCUUGGAUUUAUUGAAGACUAACUACUGCGAAAGCAUUUUGCCAAGGAUGUUUUCAUUAAUCAAGAACGAAAGUUAGGGGAUCGAAGACGAUCAGAUACCGUCGUAGUCUUAACCAUAAACUAUGCCGAACUAGGGAUCGGAUGAUGUUAAUUUUUAAUGACUCAUUCGGCGCCUUAC
rnacentral:rRNA from 1 species